rnacentral:rRNA from 1 species
UACGUAGGGGGCAAGCGUUGUCCGGAUUAUUGGGCGUAAAGAGCGUGUAGGCGGCCAAACAGGUCAGCUGUGAAAACUCGAGGCUCAACCUCGAGACGUCGGUUGAAACCGUUUGGCUAGAGUCCGGAAGAGGAGAGUGGAAUUCCCGGUGUAGCGGUGAAAUGCGCAGAUAUCGGGAAGAACACCCGUGGCGAAGGCGGCUCUCUGGGCAGUAACUGACGCUGAGGAGCGAAAGCGUGGGGAGCGAACAGG